CAAGUCCGAGCGGACAGAUGGGAGCUUGCUCCCUGAUGUUAGCGGCGGACGGGUGAGUAACACGUGGGUAACCUGCCUGUAAGACUGGGAUAACUCCGGGAAACCGGGGCUAAUACCGGAUGGUUGUUUGAACCGCAUGGUUCAGACAUAAAAGGUGGCUUCGGCUACCACUUACAGAUGGACCCGCGGCGCAUUAGCUAGUUGGUGAGGUAACGGCUCACCAAGGCGACGAUGCGUAGCCGACCUGAGAGGGUGAUCGGCCACACUGGGACUGAGACACGGCCCAGACUCCUACGGGAGGCAGCAGUAGGGAAUCUUCCGCAAUGGACGAAAGUCUGACGGAGCAACGCCGCGUGAGUGAUGAAGGUUUUCGGAUCGUAAAGCUCUGUUGUUAGGGAAGAACAAGUGCCGUUCAAAUAGGGCGGCACCUUGACGGUACCUAACCAGAAAGCCACGGCUAACUACGUGCCAGCAGCCGCGGUAAUACGUAGGUGGCAAGCGUUGUCCGGAAUUAUUGGGCGUAAAGGGCUCGCAGGCGGUUUCUUAAGUCUGAUGUGAAAGCCCCCCGGCUCAACCGGGGAGGGUCAUUGGAAACUGGGGAACUUGAGUGCAGAAGAGGAGAGUGGAAUUCCACGUGUAGCGGUGAAAUGCGUAGAGAUGUGGAGGAACACCAGUGGCGAAGGCGACUCUCUGGUCUGUAACUGACGCUGAGGAGCGAAAGCGUGGGGAGCGAACAGGAUUAGAUACCCUGGUAGUCCACGCCGUAAACGAUGAGUGCUAAGUGUUAGGGGGUUUCCGCCCCUUAGUGCUGCAGCUAACGCAUUAAGCACUCCGCCUGGGGAGUACGGUCGCAAGACUGAAACUCAAAGGAAUUGACGGGGGCCCGCACAAGCGGUGGAGCAUGUGGUUU
rnacentral:rRNA from 1 species